rnacentral:lncRNA from 1 species
GUUUCAGCUUGUUCACUAUCUGUUCGAGAACACUUACAAACAUGUCCAGGAAGCUCAUUACCAUUUAGCCUUUUUCGUCCUUCAGUGAUCUCAUAAACUUCCUAUUUAUUACUGGUCUUUUCCUCAAUUAUUAUCACAUCAUAGAGAUUGUAUGCAAGAAAUCUCACCAAGUCCACAUCACAAAGGAUAACAAUUCUGAGCAUGUUUCAUUACCUAAAUGGAAUUAUGCUGAACAGAAAAGUAAAGUCAUCCAUAGAUACUUUUCUAAAUGGGAUCGUCAACAAAGCAACCCCAAAAUAAAGUAAGAAAGUGGGCUAAGGCCUUAGGAGAAACUCAUGGGCUUGGAGGCUCAUCUAAGAAGAGAUAGACCAAGCCUUAGUCCAAGACAAGUGAGAACUAUGACAUCCUAGAUACCUGGUGAGGUAAAAGGGAGUCUGAUAAUAGAAAAAGAUAUGAGUUCAAGAAAUAAAAAUAUAUGCAGCAAAAAAUAGAAUCCCUUACAACAAAAAAAGGUUUAAUGUUUACAACUAAGGCCAAGAAGUUGGUUGCCAAAAUUUAAAUACAAAAAAGUUAUAAAAGCCACUUCUAUCAUUACAACUGGUCCUAUCAGAGCGUAGACAAAAUAUAGCACUUGUAAUCAUCGUAGGCAUCCAUGAAGGGAUCCAAACAAGCUUCAAGGGACAACUCAGUGAGCGCAUCAUCACUUCCAUCAUCUGGGGGGCAUAGAUUGAAGUGAGUUCCAUAUAACUCAGUAAGAGAAAUA